rnacentral:rRNA from 1 species
AUUGAACGCUGGCGGCAUGCCUUACACAUGCAAGUCGAACGGCAGCACGGGUGCUUGCACCUGGUGGCGAGUGGCGAACGGGUGAGUAGUACAUCGGAACAUGUCCUGUAGUGGGGGAUAGCCCGGCGAAAGCCGGAUUAAUACCGCAUACGAUCCACGGAUGAAAGCGGGGGACCUUCGGGCCUCGCGCUAUAGGGUUGGCCGAUGGCUGAUUAGCUAGUUGGUGGGGUAAAGGCCUACCAAGGCGACGAUCAGUAGCUGGUCUGAGAGGACGACCAGCCACACUGGGACUGAGACACGGCCCAGACUCCUACGGGAGGCAGCAGUGGGGAAUUUUGGACAAUGGGCGAAAGCCUGAUCCAGCAAUGCCGCGUGUGUGAAGAAGGCCUUCGGGUUGUAAAGCACUUUUGUCCGGAAAGAAAUCCUUGGCUCUAAUACAGUCGGGGGAUGACGGUACCGGAAGAAUAAGCACCGGCUAACUACGUG